GAUGAAGUGGCUGAGUGGUUAUGGCGAUGGACUGCAAAUCCGUUGUGCUCUGCAUGUGGGGCUAUCCUCGUCA
rnacentral:tRNA from 1 species